rnacentral:rRNA from 1 species
GGGGGACAACGUUUCGAAAGGAACGCUAAUACCGCAUACGUCCUACGGGAGAAAGUGGGGGAUCUUCGGACCUCACGCUAUCAGAUGAGCCUAGGUCGGAUUAGCUAGUUGGUGGGGUAACGGCUCACCAAGGCGACGAUCCGUAACUGGUCUGAGAGGAUGAUCAGUCACACUGGAACUGAGACACGGUCCAG